CCUUGACACAAACUCCUCACAGCCAUUAAAGAGGAAUUUCACAGGAUUGCAGGUAGGUGUAUUUAAUUCGUUUAAUUUAGGCUAAUCUGAGAAAUGAUGAUCAGGUAAUAAUAUCUUGCUGUGACCUGAAAUAAACUAAUGAAUGUGCAGGUACACUGACUACUCUUUCUGAAGGUCACUGAAACUGACGUAUCAUUGUUUACACCACCAAGAUCAUAUGUGAUGCUGCACAUAUUAUCACAAACGUGGAGGCCAAGUUGGACUCUGGUCAUGAGUCAUGAAUAUAUAUUGAUUUAACCCUAAGUAACAGGCUGCACUGUGGAGAGAUUGACGGCUUUCUGCUGGAGACAGGGGUUAAUGCCAGCCCACACUACUGACCCCUCACCCAGAACCUGAAGCAGGCCCCCAGCAGCGCUUUAAUGCGGCCCUGCAGAACAAGAGACCGGGAGGAAAUGACCCUAGGCCUGUUGAAAGCACUUCUUCAGUGCCUACGUCACCUCAGGGUAACAUCUGAGAGGCCUGUGACAUUAAUGUGGCAUGUGUUGUUCUCCACAAUAUUGCAAUUAUUAAAGGGGAGCAACACCCUGCCCUACAAAUACAAGACCCUGAGGAAGACUCCUUCCAUUACAGUAAUCUGCAGAAUGGAUGGACAGUCAGAUGUGAUUUGCCAUAAUAUCUUAAUCAGCCAUCACCACCACCAAUAAAAGAAACUGAAUAAAUGCCAAUUAUAAUUUA